GCGACCAUGGCGCAGUAGGCAGCGCAUAAGGCUCAUAAUCUUAAGAGCGUGAGUUCGAGCCUCACUGGUCGCA